rnacentral:rRNA from 1 species
ACACCAUGGGAGCGGGUCUCGCCAGAAGUAGUUAGCCUAACCGCAAGGAGGGCGAUUACCACGGCGGGGUUCGUGACUGGGGUGAAGUCGUAACAAGGUAGCCGUAUCGGAAGGUGCGGCUGGAUCACCUCCUUU